CCUACGGGGAGCAGCAGUGAGGAAUAUUGGUCAAUGGGCGCGAGCCUGAACCAGCCAAGUCGCGUAGGGAAGACGGUCCUAUGGAUUGUAAACCUCUUUUGUCGGGGAGCAAAAGACGCCACGCGUGGCGUUCCGAGAGUACCCGAAGAAAAAGCCUCGGCAAACUCCGUGCCAGCAGCCGCGGUAAUACGGAGGAUGCGAGCGUUAUCCGGAUUUAUUGGGUUUAAAGGGUGCGCAGGCGGAAGAUCAAGUCAGCGGUAAAAUUGAGGGGCUCAACCUCUUCGAGCCGUUGAAACUGGUUGUCUUGAGUGAGCGAGAAGUAUGCGGAAUGCGUGGUGUAGCGGUGAAAUGCAUAGAUAUCGCGCAGAACCCCGAUUGCGAAGGCAGCAUACCGGCGCUCAACUGACGCUCAUGCACGAAAGUGUGGGUAUCGAACAGGAUUAGAUACCCCAGUAGUC
rnacentral:rRNA from 1 species